UGAAAAAAAGAAAGAAAAGAAAGGAACUCCAUAUACACGAACAGCACAGUUGGAAGAAGUCUUUGUAUAGAGAAGCAGAAUGGCCAGCAACAACAAUCUGUUCCCAUCAGCAUCUGUGACCAGCAGCGGCCGCCCGGUUCUCCUUCCCAACGAGGUAGAAUGCCAGUUACUUGCCGCCGUGGACCUCGAAUCUGAAGACGACCCUCCUUUCUUCCCUUGUUUCAAAUCAGGUCUCCUCAUUCUCACCAACCAUCGUCUUCUCUGGCUUCCUUCUAAUUCCGAUUCCAAUGCAAUUGCUAUCCCUCUCUCUCUCAUCACCCACAUAUUCUCUCCCAAAAAAUCAAUCAAAUCCAUUUUCCACUCUCCUAGGAUUCGCUUCCAGGUCUCGUUGCAUUCCAAGAGCCUGGUGGUUACAGUUGUCUCGAGAGGGAAGGGCGAUUGGGACGGGUUUGUGGCUAAAUUUUGGGAGAAUUGGAGAGGAAGAGCUUGGGAGACCGAUACUGAUGAAGGGGGUUCCACUUCUAGUGGGUCAAUUGUACCUGGUACAAGUAGUAGUUCUGGUGGGUUUUACUCCAGUGAUGGGUCAGUAAGAAUGGUUGGUGUGGCAGGAAUAUUGAAAAAGGAACAGGAGAAGUGGGAGAGUACCGAUAAAAGCUUGCAAGAGGCUUUUCAAGACUUGAAUGCUCUCAUGAGCAAGGCUAAAGAGAUGGUGAUGCUAGCAGAGAAAAUGAGGCAAAAGCUUUUGUCUGGCUCAAAUUCUCACAGUGGUGCAGGGAAUGAUGAGGAAAUGGGUUCCAAAGAGGAGAUGCAAGAUUGGUUGUUGAGUGUUGGUAUUAUAUCUCCAGUCACAAAAGAAUCUGCAGGGGCCCUCUAUCACCAACAACUGUCUCGACAGUUGGCAGAUUUUGUGAGAAUUCCAUUGGAAAGAGCUGGAGGGAUGAUCAAUCUUAUAGAUAUCUAUUGCCUUUUCAAUCGUGCUCGGGGCACAGAAUUGAUCUCACCCGAGGAUUUGUUGCAAGCCUGCAUUCUUUGGGAGAAAUUUGAUGUACCAGUUAUGCUUCGAAAAUUUGAUAGUGGAGUUAUGGUCGUCCAGAAUAAGUCCCACAGUGAUGAGGAGGUUUUUGCUCGAAUCAAGACCCUGGUUACAAAGCCAGAUGCACUCCAUGCUGGAAUAACUGCUAGUGAUGCUGCAAUGACAUUAGGUAUUGCUCCAGCUAUGGCAAAGGAGCAUCUUCUAACUGCCGAGAGCAAAGGUUUACUAUGCAGGGAUGUAAGCCCCGAUGGUUUUCGUUUUUAUGUUAACAUCUUUCCUGAUAUCAAUUCUGAUAAUAUACACUUUGAUGUGGACCUCUUUUACUAAACCAACUCCUAUGACGUUGGGGCAUUUUUGUUUAGAUGAGAAAAGGUGCUGAAUGGUUUGUUCUGCACUUCACAUUGGUGGGUUCUUGUAACCAAGGGUGAAAGAUCAUGGAGUUUAUACUUUGUGGGUUAGAGCUGCAUAUGCUUCGUAGAAAUGCUACCAUCUUUUUCCAUUGGAAGCAGAAUUUCUUGAUGCGGUCACUGCAUCCAGCAGUUGAAGAUUUUAUAACUGCACUAUUUGAUGCAUUGCGUGACAUAGGAAGGCUUGUAUUUAAUAUUGCUGUAGGUUGCAAGCAUUGAUGUUGAUCCCUCAAUUAAGCAAAGCAAAAGAAACAAGGGGUUGUGUUGAUUGUAUUUGCUUGUGUUGCCACUGUAAUGUACAAGAUACCUGAACUUGAAGAACAUGUAUCAGAUACAUUGGUAAGUAACUGGGCAUGGCCGGAGAUUUGGUUCGAAACAAAUCAAUAGUUUACCCAUAAUCUCUUUAUGCAAGAUAUAGGUCAAAACUGGAGAGAUUGAUGUCAUUGAUUCCUUUCUCUAUUAGAAAUAGUUUCAGACAUCUUGUUUGAAAGAGAUCGCACUGUCAUAUUCAAUUCAAUUCUAUUAUAAGCUUGAUUUUAAGUAA